GCCGCGCGCGGCGGGCGGGCGGGGGCACGGGGGGCCUACGGGAGGCAGCAGUGGGGAAUUGUUCGCAAUGGGCGCAAGCCUGACGACGCAACGCCGCGUGGAGGAUGAAGGUCUUCGGAUUGUAAACUCCUGUUGCCCGGGACGAAACGCUCCGACCUAACACGUCGGAGUCUGACGGUACCGGGUGAGGAAGCCCCGGCUAACUCUGUGCCAGCAGCCGCGGUAAUAAU
rnacentral:rRNA from 1 species